AAGACACAUUUGUCUAAAGUAGAAAAAUCAAGAAUAUGACUUUAACAAAGAAAAACAUUACAUUUUUCAUAUUAUAAGCUUAGCAAACCAAACCAGUUUGAAUGAAAUCCAUCAUCAUCAUCAAAUAAGGAAACCCCAAUAUUUUUUACAUAGCAGAUCAUAAUCUUCGGAUUAUCACCAUGUCCGACGAUGAUGAUAGAAGAUAUGGUCCUUUUGGCCGUGAUCAUCACGCUAAAUUCAAUGUCAAUGGAAGAAUCAUGAUCACAGCUAUCAUUUGCUUGUUCGUCGUCAUUGUACUCGUUCUUAUGUUACAUAUAUAUGCUCGUUGUGCCUUCCGGCGUCAUGCAAGACGUCGUGCUGCUCUCCGUCAAUUUGCUAUUGGUGGAGGUACAGAACAAAUUCGUUUGAAUGAACAUGAACCUAAAAGAGGAUUAAAUCCAUCAGUUAUUUCUUCUCUGCCAUCAUUUGUUUAUAAACAAGUUGAUUACCAUAUUGAUCAUACAAUUGAAUGUUCAGUUUGUAUAAGUUCAUUAGAAGAUGAAGAAAUUGCUAGGAUUUUACCAAACUGUAAUCAUACUUUUCAUGCCGAGUGCAUCGAUAUGUGGUUAGUUACUCACUCUACAUGUCCUAUUUGUCGUAUGGAAGCCGAGCCAUUAGUCCAACAGGUGCAACAGGAACAUACCGGUAGCGUCCCAGUUCUUCCGGUGACCACACCUACGGCUCCUCCAGAGAAUUUGACUAAUCCUACAUCGAUGCCAUGUUCCGAGGGUGCGUCUGAUAAUAUUACGGAACAAUCUGCAAAAAUUACUACUGGUUCAACUUCGAGAUUGAGUUCGUUUAGGAGGAUGCUUAGCAGAGAAAGAUCAAGCAGAAGAAUGCAACCCAAUUCUGGGCAGUCUGACGUUGUUGGAGAUAUUGAGAGACAAUGAAAUUAACGAUAUCAUCUCCAAGUCGUCAAAAUACAUGUGGGAUUAUUAUGAAAUACAUCCGGUCCAUGAACGUGGCAUCACUUUUUUUUUUGAUCGGGAUAAUACAGAGCAACCUUUUCUUAUUCGGCACUAUAUUUGCCUAGGUGAAUCAUGGAUGCCUUGCCUUGGACUAAGCUCUGGUCCGAAAUUCGUCUUCGCCUAAAAUACUAAAGAUUUGCAAAUCCCAAAAGUUUCCGCACAAAACGUUCAACUUCGGUCAGGGCUGGGAGCCCGGGACUACAAUCACAGGGCACAACCAACUUAGAGCGAGAUGUUUUCAAAGAAACACUAAAAUUGUGUUGUUUGGCAGAAAAUAUAUUGGUUUGGCAAAUCUGACGUCCUUCAAGGCUCAGGCAGAUGGAAGGUUACACUACAAUUGCGUUACUGGGCAGAAAUUUGGUUUGGCAAUCUGAUGCCCUUCAAGGCUCAAGCAAACUGGAAUUUUACUCGAGGCUUCGGAAAAGGGUGAAAAGAAUGGAAAGGAAGUGAGAUGGUGUUGGGAUUUUACGGCUUGACAUUUUGGGUUCUGCUCGUUGGCGUCGCUCUCACCAGCCCUAGAAUUCUACUCUCCCUGCCCCCGGAUGUAGUUUCGCAACACGUUUUCUGCCAAGAGAUUCUUUUGGAAGACUUUAGUAGUGUCCUCAUAUGAAAUUAUGGCUUCUUUUUCAAAAAUUCAAAGGAACGACAAGUAGAUUGGAAUGAGUCAUCUCAUUCAUUGAUUUCAUUUCAUUUCAUUACUUAACAUUACAUUUCAAAGGAAGACCAUUAGACUGGAAUUCGUAUA